rnacentral:lncRNA from 1 species
AUGAGGUCGGCUUCCCCAAGUAUGGAGCUUAUGUUCCCACUGAGCUCUUGGGCUCUGAGUUCUUCAUGGGGCGACUGCUGGAACUCCGGCCUGAGCCCCGCAUCUGCUACCUGCAAGGUAUGUGGGGCAGCGCCUUCGCAGCCAGCCUGGAUGAGAUCUUCCUGAAGAUUGUUGGCUCAGGCCUGGGCUUCUUGGACUGGCACAGAGGUAGCAUGAACAUCACAGACAAGUGCCCACAGUCCCAGCCCCACGACCCCUCCUGGCUGCACACCAGGCUCUUCAUCCCUCAGGGGCCCAUCUCACAGGCCGUGCUGGACAUAUUCACCUCCCGCCUUGCUGCCACCCAGAACUUUAACUUCAUGCGGGGUCUCUGCCUGCACAAGGACUAUGCAGCCCGCAGGGACUUUGUGGCCUGGAAAGGUGGGGACUGCCCCGGCUGUAGGUGUCCUCCUCCUACCUCUGGUGACCGGGCCAGCACUGCUGUGGGCAUGCCUGUGGGGAUGCUGCCUGGGUGGUGA